UUCCCACUCGCCCUGCUUGUGUUCCCUCUCUCUGUCAAAUACAUAAUAAAAUACAUAAAUACAUAAAUAAAAAAUCUUAAACAAGGGCAGGUGGAAUACUCAUAUAUUCUAAUUUUAGAAGCUUGAUUAAAGGUUUUCUCUACAAACCUUAAUUUAUAACGAAAGCAAAAAGGGUAGCUAGAAAAAGGCAGCUAGAAAACCACUAAUGGGAAGGUAUUAGAUUAACUAACAUCUUACUAACACAAGAGUAAAACCCUAAGCAUGUUGAACUAUGCCACACUAAAAAGCUGUACUCAGCAUAUUGAAAAUGUACGCCCUACCUUAAAACCCUCCAUCAGAAAUAAUUCUUUAAAAAAUUCAGUCAGGCAUAAUGGAUUAUUUAGAAUUAGAAAGUCAGGUUUUAAGUUUCCACGGUUCUGGCUAGAAUACAGUAUUCUGUUCAAAUGGGAGAAGAGUAGGAUAGAAAAAAAUUAAAUUUGAGGUAAAGUACAAAAACACUAUUUAAAAUGUUAGAGUGGGUUUUGGUUAUAGAUGGAAUCCUGAACUGAGAAUAACACGGAGUACCAGGAAACUUCAAUGACCUAAGCUCUGCUUUUUUUAUUUUGGCACUGCUGUUCAGGGUCACUGUGUCUGCUUACAGCUAACUGUUGCGUUAGAAACAGGGUAUAGGAAGAGCUUCUAUACAGGGGCACCUGAGUGGCUCAAGACAUCCAACCCUUGGUUUCAGCUCAAGUCAUGAUCUCAUGGGUUAAGGGAUCAAGCAGUCUGCUUUAAGAUUCUCUCCUUCUGUCUCUCCCCACACUCUUUCAUUACCAAAUAAAUCUUAGACCAAAAAAAAGAGGAGCUUCUUAUCCAAUGUUAUCAGUUAGUCCAAUUACUAUGGACAAAGCCCCAUAGUAUUUAGUGUUUAGGUAUAAUCUUGGAUUAUGUUAACACUUGCUGUUACUCAUUCAGUACAGUUUACAGUUAAUGGAAUUUCAAAUGUAACAUUCAGAUUCUUUCUUUACAAUCUGAUAAUGACAGGUCAAAAAAUGAAAUUCAACCAGGCUGAGGCAAAAGCUCCAGACAACAAGAGAAAUUCGUUUAUCUACAAAAAAACUAUUCUCUGUAAUACUCUUUUUAAAAAAAAAAUUACUUUUGACAGUCCAAGUAAGAGGUACAAGGUAUUUGGAAAAUCUCUCUGUAAUUUCACUCCAAGAAAAACAUACCAAUCACGGAAACACAAAUUUAAGAAGCUAUUCACUAGUAUAUUUAAUAGUGAAGUCUUUAAGACUGGUAAUGUCAGUGAAAAAUAUUCUUGCCCUUGCUUUUUUCUGUCUUUAAGAUUGCCUACAACAUUGGGAAUGUCUGGGGUUAGGUACACAGAAGCUCCCAAUUCUGUACACCUAUAUCUACAAUCUUCAGAUUAUCAGAGGAAGAAAGAGGCAAGCCAAAUGGACAGGUAGACAUCCUCUAACAAAGAUUAUAGCUUGCAUUAUAGCUUAUACCUUAUUUGAGUACUUGAAGUAGUAAUAUGGAAGGUACAGAUGAUUCUUAAUCUAAAGCAAUCCACUGAUAAACCCUUCUUAGAAAAUAUAUUUCCUUAAAGAAUGUAUAUCCCUCAUCAAGAAAUAAGGGAUUUAUUUUCUGGAUGAUUAGGCUCUUGCUUGGAUUUCUAGAGUAAAUGAUCAUACUUUAAAAUGUAUUUAGGUUGAGCCAUAGGAAAUUGCCACUUUUCGUGGGUCAAAAAUGGUCCAUUACUGGCAAUUUCCUAUGGCUUAACAUAACUGACUUACUUUCAGUCAACAGUUGAGUGCAACUUCAAAUUACUACCACUUGGCAAAGUUUAACUAUUAUAGACUGUGAUUACUACUUUAUUGCAAAUCCUGAAAUAAAACCCCAGUAUUAUCAAAGGUUGUAACUACUAUCCAUUCAAGAACACUUCCUAAUAACUAAAAAUUUUGAAAAGGAAUCACCAAAUUCACUAUACCAGAUAUCCUUUUAAAAGGUAUUGGGGAUCCAAACUGUUAACAGCAGAUAAAGGAAACUGAGUGAGGCUUCACACCAAACAUCUUUUGCCUUUUGGAAUUUUGUCAAACACACAGAUCUGGUUCAAAUUCAAGUUCCUUGAGGCCUUCUAGAAAAUCCAAGUGUAAAAGUCUGCUUUACCCUCAUCCCAACAGUCAUCCAACACAGGACUUACUUCAUUACAGCUAGUUGUCCAUUCAUCUGUCCUUAUAAACUAAGCUCAUUAUAGGCAUAGCCUAUGAGAAAACUAGGUUGGUUUCAACCUCAAAAAAGGGAGUAUCUGUGGGAAGACAAGUGGUACAAUUUCCCAAUCUAAAUGCAACAUUUAGUUUAUAUGCCAACUCUGUAGAGAUCUUUCUCAAGUUACACAUUCAACUCACAGAAAACAAUACCUACAAACACUUGUGACUUAGCAUGAUGAUGAUGGAUCCCAGCAACAAAAGAAUGGCUGACAUGGCGACCUGGAAUACAAAAAAAUACCAGCUACUUUGCCUCUUCCUCACUAGCUUAUUGUCAUCUGUUCUUAGAUUACUUACAUAUACCUGUAAUUUUUUUUUUUUUUUUUUUUUUUUUGCAAGAUCAUUCAAGUGACCUCCCUCAGCCUGGUUCUAAGUAAUGCCUGUUGGGUUUUCAUGAACUCACCAGUUUGAUGUGCUGCUUCUCAACUCCACAUGAAAAUACACAACUACUUAAAAACUGGUGUACUCCUACUAUAAUUUUACCAACAGUGACUGAGCUAUCAACAAAACCCAUUUACACCAUUUUGCAAAAGUCUUAAGCCCACUUGAAGCUUUAAAAAGGUGAUUCCAGGGCACAGUUGGGAGGGUAUGUGACUCACUCUCAGGGUUGAGAGUCACACACUGGGUGAUGCCAAACAAAAAUACUAGCCUUCCCAAGGUUUCAGGAAAAGAUUUUUGCCCCCAUGUAAUCUUAAUAAACUUGUGUGACUUCACGUAAGUAUACUGAACGUGAGGGCUGCACAAGACCUUUACUUUUGAUUUUGAGUAUCUUUUAGCAUGUCCUAACUUACCAGUAAGUUUUCCAAUAGCAACAUCUUACCUACUGGUGUAGUAGUAGCCAAAAAAGAUACACCCCUCAAAAUAAUUGGAAGACUACCUGAAUCAACAACGGUUACUACCUUCAGGGAGUGGGCCUUUUCACUUCUAAAUCAAAGUAUAUUGUAUUUACCCCAUGAAAAGCCUAUUAUAGGGAGUGUCUGGUGCUCACAGUCAGUUAAGCAUCCAUCUCAACUUCGGCUCAAGACAUGACCUCAAAGUUAUGAGCUCAAAGCAUCAGGCUCUGUGCUGGCCCUGUGAAGCCUGCUUAAGAUUCUCAUUCUCUGCUCCUCCCUCUUAGGAAAAAAAGGCAAGCCUAUUAUGGUUCUACAGUACACAAGCCAUGAGGUUUAGUCACUUGUAAAUAAUGAAAUCUUGAUACUUCUUUCCUAGAAUAUGGUUACUCUACUAAAGAACUUCUUGCAACUAUGCCCAUUUUCUGAGAUGGUUUUACAUUACUUUCUCAAUGAAAUAAUCUUUAUGAAAGGAUAUUAGUAAAAUCUAUUCUACAUGAAAGAAAACGAGAAAUCAUUUUUUAUUUAUACCAUAUUUACCAAUUUGGAAAUUAAUUCUCAUACCUUAUAAUUUAUCUAUAACCCUGUUACUGAAGAGAAGAAAAAAAGGCUAACAACUGUACUUCUAACCUUUAAUGAUUUAAAAAAGGUGUCUGUGGGUUAAGUUUUUAAAAAUCAGGAUAUGAAUUAUUUGAUACUGUUACUCAAAAUUCAAGAACUGCCCUAUUCAUACCACAUCUUCCUUAUAAAUUCUGUUACUAGGGUUUUAGGAAAAAGCAUGUUAAUACCAUCACAUCUUAACUUCAGUGAUAAUAAAUUUGAGGUUGGAGUUAUAUGGACACUCCCUGGCAAAUACAUUUUUAGCAGUACCUUGAAAUGUCUUUCAGUCAUUAUAAAUUAACUAAAAUCACUCAACAGUUUUAUGUAUAUAACAAAGAUUAUGCACAUAAAAAACACUUUUCAAAUACCAAAUGAGAGACAGAAAGGACUGUCUUUCUUGCUCAGUGGUCUAUGUAUUUCUAUUGCUGGGGGAACCCUCCACUGUAAAUCCAAAUGUAGAUUUACUUUACCCUCCAGUAAAUCCACAUUUGAUAUGACCUCACAUACAUCUGCAUAAUUAUUUUAUCAUUGUUACUCUGAACACACUUUAUGUGAAGUCUUUAUCGUCCUAAAAUUAAGCCAUGUGGCUAAAAUACAUACAAAAAAUACAAUCAUUAACAAUGACACCCUUCAAAAUUACUUGAGAAUCAGAAACCAAGUUAAUGGUCUACUAUUUAAAAACUGCUCACCAUAAUUAUUUUAUAAAAAUAACUUUUAAUAAAUUAUCAAAGGCCAAAACAAAAUUCUGGAUUUACCCCACUGCCUUCCAAAGGUUGCCUUUGAUAAGAUUAUAAAGACUUUACUAGUAUCAAAUGUAUGAUCAAUUCCCUAAGCCAAUCUAUUCUCACAAAGUUUUAAAUGCUAAGAUUUCAAAGGAUGCAUUACAAAAUGAUUAACCAAUUAAUAUGUUACUACUAUUUAUGAGCAAGUGUAAAUGCUUUUUAAAAAGCAAUCAACUAUUCUAGACUAUUACUAGCUCCAACUACUUUGCUACAUUUGGUAUAAAAAGUAGAAAGUUAAAAAUCAGCAAAUGGAAGAUCAAAGUUUAUUUACUACCUGCAUACAAAAACAUAUUGCACAUCAAACAACCAAAAUCAAAAAAAAAAAAAAAAAAAAAGAGAGAGAGAGAG